rnacentral:rRNA from 1 species
AACUGCAUCUGAAACUGUAUAUCUACAAUGUGGGAGAGGUAGAUGGAAUUUCUGGUGUAGGGGUAAAAUCCGUAGAGAUCAGAAGGAAUACCGAGUUGCGAAGGCGAUCUACUGGAACAUUAUUGACGCUGAGACGCGAAAGCGUGGGGAGCAAACAGGAUUAGAUACCCUGGUAGUCCACGCCCUAGACGAUGCACACUAGUUGUUGUGAGGCUCGACCUUGCAGUAAUGCAGUUAACACAUUAAGUGUGCCGCCUGGGGAGUACGGUCGCAAGAUUAAACUCAAGGAAUAGACGGGGACCCGCACAAUCGGUGGAGCAUGUGGUUUAAUUCGACGAUACACGAAGAACCUUACCUGGACUUGACAUAGUAAGAACUUUCUAGAGAUAGAUUGGUGUCUGCUUGCAGAAACUUAUAUACAGGUGCUGCACGGCUGUCGUCAGCUCGUGUCGUGAGAUGUUGGGUUAAGUCCCGCAACGAGCGCAACCCUCGUCAUUAGUUGCUAACAGUUCGGCUGAGAACUCUAAUGAGACUGCCUACGCAAGUAGGAGGAAGGUGAGGACGACGUCAAGUCAUCAUGGCCCUUACGUCCAGGGCUACACACGUGCUACACUGGGGUAUACAAAGA